GUAGGAAAGAUUUGGAUAAUCCAAUAUUCAAAUGUAAGUCAACAUUUGAAAGAUUUGUGCACGUGUAGAGUGUGUGAGUCAGUUCUAUAUAUAGAACCUAUAAAUAUAAGUGCCAAAGCAGCAAGCCCUACAUUUCUCAUUUGCUGUCAGAACUCACUUUGAGUAUUUUUGUUCUCUCCAAGGAUGUCCGGCGACCAACAAAGAAUGUCAAUAGACAAUGACAAGCUACCCAUCUGUCCUAAGGCACUAGUUGUGCAUGAUCCAUCGCUCAAUCAAGGAGGUCAGAGUAAUUUGUUUGUUUUUGCUGGCAAUCGUGACACGAUGCAAAAUGGAACUGCUGAGGCAGUUGUCUGCAAUUCCAAGAAACUUGAGGAUGCAAUGCAGGAGAUUGGUCUAAAAAUUAAACACCAUGAAGAUAAUAUCAAAUUCUUAAAGGCUCAGAAGAACAAGUUGGAUGAUUCAAUUUUGGAUUUACAAGUUUCUCUUGGCAAGAUUCAUUCAACAUGUGGAACUGAUUCUGAAAAUAAGGAAUCUUCCAAUGGGUGGAGUGAGGAGGAAACCAGUGAAAAAAUCUUAAGACUUGAUAAAUCCGCAGCUGGCAUCUGUUGCCGGCUGAAAACAGAUCAUGGAAGUCAGAUUACUCAUAUUCCGUUGAUGAAGGACGUCAUGGGUAUUGCUGCUUUGCUUGGGAAGGUUGACGACGACAAUCUCAGCAGGCUUCUCUCAGAUUUUCUGGGGCUAGAAACCAUGUUAGCAGUUGUUUGCAAGACGCAAGAUGGACUUAAAGCACUGGAAACAUAUGAUAAGGAAGGUUUUAUAAACAAAAGUUCUGGUCUUUAUGGCCUUGGAGCUGCAAUUGGGAGAGAUUUGGAUGACCCAUUUCUUGUAAUCUGUCUUGGGAACUUAAGACCAUACGCUGGUGAAUUCAUUGCUGAUGACCCUCAGAGGAGGCUUGAUUUAAUGAAGCCAAGAUGGGACAAUGGGGAAACUCCUCCUGGUUUUCUUGGUUUCGCUGUCAAUAUGAUCAAUAUUGACACUGCAUACUUGUAUUGUGCUACAAGCACUGGUCAUGGCCUCAGAGAGACCCUCUUCUAUAAACUCUUCUCACGGUUGCAAGUAUACAAAACAAGGGCAGACAUGUUGCAGGCACUACGUGUUAUAACUGAUGGAGCCAUAUCUUUGGAUGGUGGGAUCAUAAAACGUGAUGGUGUAUUUGUCCUAGGCAAGAGGGAAGUAGAGAUCAAAUUUCCAAAGAGUUCCAGAAGUUCGAAUAUACCUGAAAACUAUUUUGAUACUGAGAGCCGGAUGAAGGAGCUGAAGUGGAAAAGGGAAAGAUUUUUGGAAGAUUUACAGAGAGAACAAUCAUUCCUGGACCAAGCAAAGUUCAACUUUGAAAUAAAGAAGCAAGAGUUUGUCAAGUUUCUUGCACAUAGCUCAUCCUAUGUCACAGCGGUAAUUACUUGAGUGUGUCUAGUUAGACUAUGCAUGCUAGUCAAUGGUUUGUUCCUAAUAGUUUGUGCUGUUGAUGCCAAGGCGAUAUAAAAAUUCAUCUCUGAGCUGUUUUAGUCCUCAAGUGGCAAUAGCUGAAGUUGUGGAUAAAGACAAAUGGGGAGCUUGGGAAGGAUCUUUCGCAGAACUUACUGUAAAAGACAGUUCUAAUUUAUGUAAACUUCUGCUGAAGUAAUUUGUUACAAGAGGAGUGGAUAAAUAGAAAAUGUAGUAGUUCAGACUCAGGUUCCGGCAGGAGGGGAGCGGUCGACGCCAAUAUCAUGAUUGCGUAUUCGAGAAGCAUUUCUACAUUAGACAGGAGGAAACUUUAUCAGUUGAUUCAAUGCUCGAGCUGUUAAUUCAUAUUCUGGACAAUGCCCUCGUAGAUUAUAUGUGCAGUUUUAUGUCAUCCUUGUUUGGCUCAAUUUCAGAUUUGGGUGCAGUCUUAUGCCAGUCUGAUUCUUGUUUAGGUCAAUUUUCAUAGAUGAGUCGUAAGUUCACUCAGGACAGUACCCUUUUCUCUUUUCCCGUCUUUUAGAUAUAGCAUGUUCUAUCAAUGUACAGGAUCGUGUUAGUUGUUGCACUUCACUUGAUGCUUAAGGUUGAAAUUUAUGCUACUUUUAUUUAAUUCAGUAA